rnacentral:rRNA from 1 species
ACGCUGGCGGCGUGCCUAACACAUGCAAGUCGAGCGAUGAAGAGUUUCCUCGGAAACUUGAUUAGCGGCGGACGGGUGAGUAACACGUGGGUAACCUGCCUCAUAGAGGGGGAUAGCCUCCCGAAAGGGAGAUUAAUACCGCAUAACGUAUUUCAGCCGCAUGGCUGAAAUACCAAAGGAGUAAUCCGCUAUGAGAUGGACCCGCGGCGCAUUAGCUAGUUGGUGAGGUAACGGCUCACCAAGGCGACGAUGUGUAGCCGACCUGAGAGGGUGAUCGGCCACAUUGGAACUGAGACACGGUCCAGACUCCUACGGGAGGCAGCAGUGGGGAAUAUUGCGCAAUGGGCGAAAGCCUGACGCAGCAACGCCGCGUGAGUGAUGAAGGCCUUCGGGUUGUAAAGCUCUGUCUUCUGGGACGAUAAUGACGGUACCAGAGGAGGAAGCCACGGCUAACUACGUGCCAGCAGCCGCGGUAAUACGUAGGUGGCAAGCGUUGUCCGGAUUUACUGGGCGUAAAGGAUGCGUAGGCGGAUAUUUAAGUCAGAUGUGAAAUACCCGAGCUCAACUUGGGUGCUGCAUUUGAAACUGGAUAUCUAGAGUGCGGGAGAGGUAAGUGGAAUUCCUAGUGUAGCGGUGAAAUGCGUAGAGAUUAGGAAGAACACCAGUGGCGAAGGCGACUUACUGGACCGUAACUGACGCUGAGGGCAUGAAAGCGUGGGGAGCAAACAGGAUUAGAUACCCUGGUAGUCCACGCCGUAAACGAUGGGUACUAGGUGUGGGAGGUAUCGACCCCUUCCGUGCCGCA